UACAGGGGGUGCAAACGUUGCUCGGAAUCAUUGGGCGUAAAGCGCACGUAGGCGGUCUGUUAUGUCGGAUGUGAAAGCCCUUGGCUUAACUGAGGAAGUGCAUCCGAAACUGGCAGGCUAGAGUACUAAAGAGGGUCGCGGAAUUCCCGGUGUAGUGGUGGAAUGCGUAGAUAUCGGGAGGAACACCAGUAGGCGAAGGCGGC
rnacentral:rRNA from 1 species